AAGACUAUAGACCUGCGGAGUACCUGCGGAAGGAUCAUUACAGAGUUGCAAAACUCCAAACCAUUGUGAACUUACCUUUGCCGUUGCUUCGGCGGGCGGCCCGGGUCCCGACCCGGCGCCCCCCGGCCCCGUCAGGGGCGCCCGCCGGAGGUAAACCAAACUCUUGAAUUGUAUGGCCUCUCUGAGUCUUCUGUACUGAAUAAGUCAAAACUUUUAACAACGGAUCUCUAGAUCGGAAGA
rnacentral:misc_RNA from 1 species